GGUGCCGAGCCGCUCUCCCUUUCUUAUCACAGCAGGCGGAGUCAGAGCCGGAUCCCCCGGACCUGUGGGGGCGUCAAAACUUGGACCAAAAUUGUGCCUUAUGGUUCAGUUUCUAUAAUAUGCCCAAACAAAACAUCAGAGCCCAGUAUUAUCCCAAGUCUGGUCCGCGGUGCUGAGCCUCAUGGACCAGCCUCUAGAUGUCAUGAGGCAAAGAAGAUAACAGGCACCCACAACAGGUACUCCACCAUUGAAAUCAUGGAAUUAUAAACAGAGUAAAUUAAGUACAGGCAGUAGCUCAACAAGUGAAAGGGAGAAGAGAAAUUAUCCUGACUGGUGAACAGACAAUAUGGAGCAGCUGUGGAAAAUCAUUGCUACACAAGUAUUCCCACCAGACUAAUCCUUCUGCCAGAUUGUACACAGUACACCAUCGGGCUGAUGUUUGUUUUCAGAUGCAGGACCUACUCCUGCUGAGAUCAACGGCAGAAGCCCCUCUGAUGCCAGUGGAGCAGUGUUAUGAAUAAAUAUGAAUGGGUUGGUCAAACACUCCACUUCUGACUCAACUGAAAAACGAUAUGAGGGCAGAGCCUUCAGGUACCACAGAAUUUAGAUUCUGAAGCAUACAGAGAGGAGGACGGGCAGGUAUGAAUCUGUGAAAGAAACAUACUAAGAAAAUGCCAGUUACAUG